UGGUGUCAUUGGCUAUUCGUAGCGAGGCUACUGAGUUUGACUGCACAUUCUUUUCAUCUUUAGCCAUUUGGGUUCUUACUGUGUAUGUUGGCUUCAGUAGGUUCAGGUUUGUUGUUUGAAGUAGGAUAUACCUAUAUAAAAUUUAUUGUUAGAUGUAUGUCCUAGAAGCUAAUAUGGCUGACACAUUGUAAUAAAUCUAGGACACAAUUUUAUACUUAAUACAUUGAUUUGAUUAAUAAAAAGGCAAAUUUAUUUUUUAUUCAAGUGUGAUG
rnacentral:lncRNA from 1 species